GUCGUGGUUUUUCACCGGUCGGGAAGCGGGUUAUACGCCGCGCGCCCGGGAACAGGCGGUCCUACGCGCCACGAGCCGCUUUGGCCGCGGACAAAUAAUUAUCCUGAAAAGAGGAAGAGGGAAGGCGGGCGGAAGGAUACUCUUUCCUAGGAGGAGCAAAGCGAGAACCCGAGAAUUUUACCGCGAGAUUGUGGAAAUAACAGGAACUGUGGCUGGUUGGAGCGAAAGACCUCGGGGGCGAGGAGGGGCGGCUGCCUGGAAUUUGCUCCUCCUUCGUGGUUUGCACGAAAUAACCCCUAGGCUCGCUUGGCACCACUGUUACUUAGGAAAGAAAAGGAAGCAGUAGAUCUUCCCCAAGUAUUACUACUGCUAUUGUAAUACAUGCACAAUCAAAACACAAGUGUUUUUCUUCGGGUUUGGUUCUGCGCCUUGGGUGUACAUGAAAUACGCCCCUUGGAUAAAGAAUCCAAGGAUCAUAGUGCACGUUCUUCUGCACUCGUUUGAAAACCCAAAAUGCUGUUUGGAUUUCAAAAUGCAUAAUUAUAUAUUAGAUGAAUUUACAACAAAGCUUUGUUGAGCUUUGUUGUUUUCUUGCAGACAUUUCAUUGCCAAACUAGGUAACAUAAUCAUGUUUUAUGAUUAUGCAUGAACACUCUCUGAUUUUACAAGAUGGGCAGAAGCUAGAAGUAAGCAACCUGACAAAUAGCCAACCCUUAUACUCUAGAAGAUUUUGUAGGUGAUAGCCAGCACCUUGAAUUGUACCUGGAAACCUACUGGUCAACAGAAAAAAAAUAACAGGAAAGGUGUCAUGGCAUACCCUUCAACUGUGGAUUUGCCAACUUGUGCAUCAGCUCUAUUUCCAAAUGAUCUUCAAGAGCAGCCCCAUGUACAACACAUUGCUGUAUAAAUAAUCUUCAAUUCACAACAAUUUGUCUUGUUUGCAUUGGAAGUUUGCUUUACAACUGCCACAAUUUCCAAAAAUUCAUAAAAUUAGGUUAACCAAAUGGAUGACCUGAUAUACAACUAUCAUGAUUUACGACUAAGGGGCAGGCUUCAUUACAGUUGUAUAUAUCUGGAGUACCCUGUGGACCACGUGGUUGGACCUUUUAUACCCAGGAGGAGGGGCAAAGAGGAAGCCCUCGGACAAUCAACUCACACAGUCAAAGUUCAUCCCAUUUUUCCCCUGAUCACAGAAUGAAUAGAACAGCAAGGAACUAAGGACUGGCAAGUGAAAGAAAACAUGAUAGCUUUAAAAAUGUUAAUAUUUUUGUGGAUAUGUCACUGUGUUCUUCUCCAAGGUCCUGAGCCCAAGGAGAAUAGCACUCUCUUUCUUCCCUCCUUGGCAGUAUCCACAGGUACAUCUAAACUGAUGAUUCUCACAAAAGAUUUCCAGAAUGAAAAACCAGAUUUUCCUACUACCCCUUAUCCUACAGAAGAAAGAUCAGCAGCAUUAACAGUGGCAGCAUUAAGUAUCAUCAUCUUCAUUGUUAUUUUGGUGGUGACUGUAAUAAUCCUUGUCAGCAUGGUCAGCAUAAAAUUCAAUUGCCAUCACUGCAAAAAGGUAACAGAUAAACAAAAACUUCAACAAUCUAUAGUAUCAUACAGCUGUUCGGAUGCUGAUACUACAGUUGGCAAUAAGAAUGUUUUGUUGGUCUCCAUGAAGACUUAAAUACGACCAGCAGCAAAAAUCUUGUGAAGGUAAUUACUCAUGAAGAAUAGGAGGAACUAAACACUAAACAUUUCAUUUUUAUUGUAUACGUUCAUGCAGAGAGAAUUCAGCAAAGCAUUAAGAAGUUACCAUUUGGAAUAUAACUAUCUGAAUUGCAUUAUAAUCAGGUUUCAUACAGUAUUUGAAUGCAAAAAGGUAGUUUGGAUCUGGGGGGGCCCACAAAUAUAACUUGUAUUUGUAAUUGUUUAAAUAGACAGACCUUCCUAUAGAACAGGGCUGUCAAACUCCCAGCCUGCGGGCCGGAUGCGUCAUGCGUUGGCCAUGCCAAUGCCCAGUUUAGCAAAGGGGAAAAAAGUCCUGAUACGUCAUGUGACACCACUGUGAUGACCUGAGUUUUGACACCCCUGCAAUAGGAUUACAUGUUGGUUCACUGCAGCUGCUAGCAAUCUGGAAAAGAUGCAUAUGGUUUUAAAACUUGCUGCAGUCACCCUCCUGCACGCUCCAAAGGGCCUCUUCAUCUUUCUUUAGGAGCAUUGCACAGGGCCUCAUAAUCAGAUAAGUGAUCCAAUAACCUAGUAUCAUAUACUCAAGAGCAUUUCAGGGCCUUAAGCAGACUCCUAAUAAUUGCUAUCUGAAUCUAUAGAGGUGUACAUGGGACUUCUGUUGCGUCUUACUGUUGGGCUAUUAUUAUUUGUUGCUAUACCAUCUUUUGAACACAGAAACUGAGGGUUGGAUAUAGAAAACAGCAGUAUAGUAAGGAUUGUGGAAGCAGAGGCUUCUGUCCCUUCCCCAAAUACUCUUCCAGCCCCCUCAAAAGUUCCCACCUAUUUCAAGGGGGCAUGAAAGAGUAGGAGGACAUUUCCUUUUGCUCUAUCAUAAGCAAUUUCUUUAGACUGAACUAUUUCAAUUUAGUUUCCUGAAAACAUGUAGCAUGUAGAUGUAUUUCCAUUUACCUCUGAGAUGAAAAUUUUAAUGAGUUCCAUUGUUUUAUUUUACAUUCCAGUUAUUGCCAUAGAUAUUUUUCUGUUUGAUUUUGAAAGAAUAUUUUCAGAAGAUAGGGAUGGAGUUUGCCUGGUCUUUUGGUAUGAGCGUCUUUUCUCUUACAUGCUUAUAUCAGAAACUUUGGCCUUGAAAUCUUGAAAGUUCAAAAGCAUCAAUAUUCAUCCUAAUCUGCUUCUUCAAAGUCAAAAUCACAUGAAGUAUCAUUGCUUACACUAUUCUGAUCUUUAUAGAUAUAGUCACAUCAGAAUUUCUGGAUAUUUUUUCCAAGGCCUUUACAGUUCUACCAAAUGCUAGUCUGCAAAGUAUUUAUUGACUGCUUGUUUAUUUAUUGUUGGUGGAUUGGUCCUAAAUGACAGAAGGUUUUUACCACAUUUGAUAUCUUCACUAUUAAUUUUUUGUUAUACAUAUCAUUAGUUUGUGGUGGAGAAAAUAAAUCUAGCAAACAAAAUGGA